AGGGGGUGCGAGGGUUGUUUGGAACUCCCGGGGGUAAAGGCGCGUCAGGGGGCUUUCUAAGUUCGUCGGUGAAAGACCGGGGCUCAACCCCGUGUCAGCCAUGGAUACUGAGAGGCUGGAGACAGGUAGAGGCAAGCGGAAUUCCUGGUGUAGCGGUGGAAUGCGUAGAGAUCGGGAAGAACACCGGAGGCGAAGGCGGCCUUCUGGACCUGGUCUGACGCUGAGGCGCGAAAGCGUGGGGAGCAAACAGGAUUAGAUACCCUGGUAGUCCACGCCGUAAACGAUGGGCACUAGCCGUGGGGGGGAUCGACCCCUUCAGUGCCGAAGCUAACGCAAUAAGUGCCCCGCCUGGGGAGUACGGCCGCAAGGCUG
rnacentral:rRNA from 1 species